rnacentral:rRNA from 1 species
GACGAACGCUGGCGGCGUGCCUAAUACAUGCAAGUCGAACGCAGUGGGGACGGGUGAGUAACACGUGGGUAACCUCCCAUCAGAGGGGAUAACACUUGGAAACAGGUGCUAAACCGAUACUUCUGGCUGGACCCGCGGUGAAUUGGCUAGUUGGUGAGGUAACGGCUCACCAAGGCGACGAUGCAUCACCGACCUGAGAGGGGGAUCAGCCACACUGGGACUGAGACACGGCCCAGACUCCUACGGGAGGCAGCAGUAGGGAAUCUUCGGCAAUGGACGAAAGUCUGACCGAGCAACGCCGCGUGAGUGAAGAAGGUUUGCGGAUCGUAAAACUCUGUUGUUAGAGAAGCGGUAUCUAACCAGAAAGCCACGGCUAACUACGUGCCAGCAGCCGCGGUAAUUC